AGUUUGAUCCUGGCUCAGAGCGAACGCUGGCGGCAGGCCUAACACAUGCAAGUCGAGCGCCCGUAGCAAUACGGGAGCGGCAGACGGGAGAGUAACACGUGGGAACGCGCCCUUCGGUUCGGAAUAACUCAGGGAAACUUGAGCUAAUACCGGAUACGCCCUUACGGGGAAAGAUUUAUUGCCGAAGGAACGGCCCGCGUCCGAUUAGCUUGUUGGUGAGGUAAUGGCUCACCAAGGCGACGAUCGGUAGCUGGUCUGAGAGGAUGACCAGCCUCACUGGGACUGAGACACGGCCCAGACUCCUACGGGAGGCAGCAGUGGGGAAUAUUGGACAAUGGGCGCAAGCCUGAUCCAGCCAUGCCGCGUGGGUGAUGAAGGCCCUAGGGUUGUAAAGCCCUUUCGGCGGGGAAGAUAAUGACGGUACCCGCAGAAGAAGCCCCGGCUAACUUCGUGCCAGCAGCCGCGGUAAUACGAAGGGGGCUAGCGUUGCUCGGAAUUACUGGGCGUAAAGCGCACGUAGGCGGCUUGUUAAGUCGGGGGUGAAAUCCUGGAGCUCAACUCCAGAACUGCCUUCGAUACUGGCGAGCUCGAGUUCGGGAGAGGUGAGUGGAACUGCGAGUGUAGAGGUGAAAUUCGUAGAUAUUCGCAAGAACACCAGUGGCGA
rnacentral:rRNA from 1 species